GAAAUAUUAUUUUUGGAGUAGAAAAUGGAGUAAUACAUUGGAGUAAAACCUUACUCCAUUUUGGUGUUGCACCAUUUUGGAGUAAAAAAUGGGGUAAUACAUUGGAGAUGCUCUAAGACGUCUUCUCAGAUUUUUUUUUUCUGUUUUAAAGAAAAAAAUGUCAAUUAAACCCUUAAAUAUUAAGAUUUGGUUAAAAACCACUAACAUUUUCUUCUCUCCAAACAAACCUCAAAGUAUAAAUUGACUGAAGCAUAUAAAUUUCAAAAAAGUAAUGUGAACAAAAAUUAUUAAAACUAGGAGUCCUAUACCAAAGUCAACUCUUUUUGGAACUCUUCGGAACUCGGUAGUCUUUGUCUAUUAAACUUUGACGUAACAUGUUUCUAAAUUUAAAAGAAAUUAUGACUAGCAUUGAAAGGUAUCAAUAUACAUUGAAUUCAUACAUUGAACGUUAUUGCUCAAAUAAAAGACAUUGAGAGUGUGAUUGGUUAUUCAGAUUAAAUUGGUGAGAAAAAAAGAAGUGGAAAAAAGCAGAAAUAAAUUAGAGUAAAGUGGAGUAAAACUUUUCACUUGUAUAAUAUGGAGUAAAAAGUUACUCUACUUUUAUUAGUUUUUCUCCACUGGUAGAGUAAAUGGACUGAAAACAUUAUUUUACCUGAUUGGAUAGAAAAAGUUGAAUUCAAAGUAAAAAUUAAAAUUAGAGUAAAUAUUUACUCUUACAAGUACAUCCAGUCACACUCUGAACGUUAUCCAUCUACUAAUGCAUAUAAUAUACUAGGGGAUUGCCCCCGCGUUGUAAACAUAGUUUUUGUUUUAUUUCAAUAUCUGUUAGGGUUAUUGUAACUGUAAAUUUUACGUUUUGGGUUGAUCAUUUUUUUCAAGUUUUUUUAUUGUUAUAGAGUUAGGGUUGUGAUGAUGAACUGUGUAUGCACUGUUCUCCACUCAUGAAUGACUAAAUUGUUUAAGUAAUAUGAUUGAUAUAGUACGUGGUGUUGCUUGUUGUGUCAAUGAGACUUAUUGUUUGUUUGUCUUUUCAAUUUGUUACUUGUAACGUUGAGAUUACAUAAAUUAUAUUAAGGUUGUUGAGAGUACAUUUUGUUUUUGGAUAUUUUUUUCUCCAGUUUAGCUGUGUAAGUUGUGUGUAUUAAGUAAUAAUUUUUUUAUUCUUAUUAUGUUGGUUAUAUGUUUUUUUUAUUUUUAAACUUGUUGCUUUUACCGGACCUUUAAAACAAAUACAUGAAGACUUCUAGAAAUAAUUAUAGAAUGAGUGACAAUUAGUAUUUGGGGCUUAAUGGAUUUUAAACGAAUAUAUGUAUUUCUCAUAAGAAGACAAUAACAUUGGCUUGUUGACAUUGAGCAUGUAAGUUAUUUUCAUAAGACAAGAAGAGUGAGCAGGUGGAGAUGUUGUUGCCGCCUUUUUGUAUGUUGGGAUUGUCUCUUGUAUCUCCUAGUGCGGCUCUGUUUGUUUCUCUUUUAUUUGAUGGGUAAUAUGUAAAAAAAAAUCAUUGUUAGUUGUAUUUACCAGAGUUUGUAACUUAUUCUGCUUUUUUGUUCAGGUAAUUUCAUUGAUCUUGGUUGUCUUAUUCGUCUUCUUUAUAAGCAUCUGCGAAAGUAAGUUUGUAAAUUGUUAAAUAGCUGGCCGUGUAGUUUGUAUGUCUUUAGCUGACUCAAUAUAUGUGUCGUUGAGUUUGAGUUGAGUUGAUUGGUUUGGUAUAUUUGUUUUGAAGUUUAUUUGUAAGAUUAGACAAAAAGAGAGGUGAUCAUUAAUGAUUCAUCGUUUUUGGGAUUCCAGUUUUUGGUGUUUUGAUUGUUUGGGUUAUUGUGGUUUCUUUUAAGCUGUAAAAUAAAGAUUUGUGUAAAAUAGAUUGAUAAGUAAGAGAGAUAAAUAGACGACCACAAAUCUUGGGUAUGAAAUAUUUUUGAUUAUUGAUGUUAGCACAAUAUAGACAAUAAUAUAAAAUUGAUGUUAGCACAAUAUAGACAAUAAUAUAAAAAGAAUUAUGUAUUGAUUAUUUCUUACGGAUCAAUGAAGAGACGGAUAACGACUCGAGUUGUUUCUUUAGUGAGGUCAGAGCCCUGGACAUAAUUGUUUUCUCCAGGGGACGGAUAAUGACUCGUUCAUUGGAAGAGCUUAACCUGAAAAAUUAUAAUAUUCACUUGUAUAAUAUUUUUUCAACAAAUAAUCAGGAAAUCAAUUAAAACAAUUAUGUUAAAUGAGUUUGAUAGAUGGAAAAUAACUUACCUUUUCAUCAAG